GGGCUCAUGGCUCAACCUGGUAGAGCACUCGCUUUGCAAGCGAGGGGUUGGGGGUUCAAAUCCCCCUGAGUCCA
rnacentral:tRNA from 1 species